rnacentral:rRNA from 1 species
UACGGGGGGGGUAAGCGUUGUUCGGAAUUACUGGGCGUAAAGGGCUCGUAGGCGGCCAACUAAGUCAUACGUGAAAUCCCUCGGCUUAACCGGGGAACUGCGUCUGAUACUGGAUGGCUUGAGAUUGGGAGAGGGAUGCGGAAUUCCAGGUGUAGCGGUGAAAUGCGUAGAUAUCUGGAGGAACACCGGUGGCGAAGGCGGCAUCCUGGACCAACACUGACGCUGAGGAGCGAAAGCCAGGGGAGCAAACGGG